CCAUGGUAUCACAUUCAUAAUCCAAUGAAUUUAGUUGUGACCAUGUACUUCAUGGUAAAAAGUACAUCCGAGCGUGAAUAAUUUAAGAAAUUCAAACAUUCCAAGUUUUUCGUGUAUGGAUUAUUUGACGCCCGCGGUACUGUUUUUUUUCCUCUACACAUUUGUCGGUCGAGGUUGGUCGGUAGUUUUUCGAGAAAUUCAUUCGAAGUGUUCUGAAGUGGACCCAAUGUAAAUGUAAAAAACCAUCACACACUGCGAGUGAGUGGGUGCCUGGAGCGGCAACGGAAAGCCGGAUUGUGAGAGACGGGUCCAGCAAAUUAGUCCAAAUCAAUAAGGCCGAUGACAUAGUGAGUGCGAUGCGAUGCGAAUUAGCGGAAAAUUUACGGACGCAGCCUACGCGAACUCGAGCGGCGGAACAAAUUGACAUCUGCUUCGCCGCGUUGAGUAUGUCAGGUUUAAGCGAUUCACAUACAUUUUCAUCAAAUGUGGUUCACCGCAUUGAACCGCGUUCACCGCAUCGCAUCGCAUCGUAUUCACUAUGUCAUCGGCCUAAGUGUGAGUAAAGUGUUAAAUUUUUUUUUGAAUAAAUAAAUUUAAACGAA